rnacentral:rRNA from 1 species
CCUACGGGGGGCAGCAGUAGGGAAUCUGGCGCGAUACGAGAAAGCCUGAUGGAGCAACGCCGCGUGCAGGAUGAAGGCCUUCGGGUUGUAAACUGCUUUUAUAAGCGAGAAAUAUGAUGGUAACUUAUGAAUAAGGAUCGGCUAACUACGUGCCAGCAGCCGCGGUCAUACGUAGGAUCCGAGCAUUAUCCGGAGUGACUGGGUGUAAAGAGUUGCGUAGGUGGCAUAAUAAGUAGCUAGUGAAAUCUGGUGGCUCAACCAUUCAGACUAUUAGCUAAACUGUUAAGCUCGAGACCGUUAGGGGUAACUGGAAUUUCUAGUGUAGGAGUGAAAUCCGUAGAUAUUAGAAGGAACACCAAUAGCGUAGGCAGGUUGCUGGGACGGUUCUGACACUAAGGCACGAAAGCGUAGGGAGCAAACGGGAUUAGAUACCCUAGUAGUC